rnacentral:rRNA from 1 species
UACGUAGGGUCCGAGCGUUGUCCGGAAUUAUUGGGCGUAAAGAGCUCGUAGGCGGUUUGUCGCGUCUGCUGUGAAAUCCCGAGGCUCAACCUCGGGCCUGCAGUGGGUACGGGCAGACUGGAGUGCGGUAGGGGGAGACUGGAAUUCCUGGUGUAGCGGUGAAAUGCGUAGAUAUCUGGAGGAAUACCGGUGGCGAAGGCGGCAUCCUGGACCGACAUUGACGCUGAGGAGCGAAAGCUAGGGGAGCAAACAGG